AAGACUAUACUUUCAGGGAUCAUUUCUAUAGUUUCUGACUUGAGAAAUGUGUUUCUAAAGUGUUUGGUCUCUCUAACCACGAUGAUGAGUUGCGAUAUUCCCUUCUGAGCGUGAAGCGGACAGAGAAUAAUGAUUCACAUCCUGUGUUCUCUGUCAUUGAUGACUGUUCUCUGCUUCUCUGUGGAGCAUUGAGGGAGGGAGUAUGAUGAUGAGUGGU
rnacentral:snoRNA from 1 species